ensembl:ncRNA B0207.15 ncRNA
CAACUAGUUGCUCCGCUAAGCUAUUGACGGCACCGCGGAGGACAGAAAAGGGUCAAUUAGAACUU